GAAAUCUACAGAUAAAGAGUCGUGCCUGCCCAGUGAAUUUUUUUAACGGCCGCAGUACCCUGACUGUGCUAAGGUAGCAUAAUCACUUGUUUUUUAAUUGAAAGCUUGUAUGAAUGGCUUGACGCAGGUAAAGCUGUCUCUUUUAUAUUAAAUAGAAAUUAAUUUUUAAGUGCAGAAGCUUAAAUAAAACCAAAAGACGAAAAGACCCUAUCGAGCUUGAAAAUUAUAAUUAAAUUAAAUUUAUAGUAAAAUAAUUUUUAAUUAAUUUUUUUUGUUGGGGCGACAAAAGAACAAAUAAAGCUUCUUUUUAUUUUAUAAAUUUAUAAAUUUAUAGAUCCAUAAAUUAUGACUAAAAGAAAAAGCUACCGUAGGGAUAACAGCGUUAUUUUUUCAAAGAGUUCUUAUCGAAGAAAAAGUUUGCGACCUCGAUGUUGGAUUAAAGUAACUUUUAAGUGCAGAAGCUUAAAUAGUGGGUCUGUUCGACCCUUAAACCUUU
rnacentral:rRNA from 1 species